CACGUAUUUAGCCGGGGCUUCUUAGUCAGGUACCGCCAUUUUCUUCCCUGCUGAUAGGGCUUUACAUGCCGAAGCACUCCAUCGCCCACGCGGCGUCGCUGCAUCAGGGUUCCCCCCAUUGUGCAAUAUCCCCCACUGCUGCCUCCCGUAGGAGUCUGGGCCGUGUCUCAGUCCCAAUGUGGCCGCCCACCCUCUCAGGCCGGCUACUGAUCGUCGCCUUGGUGGGCCGUUGCCCCGCCAACCAGCUAAUCAGACGCGGGCCCAUCCUGCACCGCCGGAGCUUCCCCCGCCGCCCCAUGCGGGGCUGCGGGCAUAUGCGGUAUUAGCAGCCGUUUCCGGCUGUUGUCCCCCAGUGCAGGGCAGGUUGCCCACGCGUUACUCACCCGUCCGCCACUGGCAGCGCCGGCUUCCGCUCCGAAAAGCCUCAGCCUGCGCGCCCCGUUCGACUUGCAUGUGUUAGCACGCCGCCAGCGUCAUCUGAGCAGGAUCAAA
rnacentral:rRNA from 1 species